AGGCUUAACACAUGCAAGUCGAACGGAGAUGUUUAUUUCGGUAGACAUCUUAGUGGCGGACGGGUGAGUAACGCGUGAGCAACCUUUCCCAGACAGGGGAAUAACACACCGAAAGGUGUACUAAUACCGCAUAAGACCACGGGAUCACAUGGUUCUGGGGUAAAAGAAUUAUCGGUUUGGGGUGGGCUCGCGUCCGAUUAGGUAGUUGGUGAGGUAACGGCCCACCAAGCCGACCGAAUCCCGGUAGCCGACCUCGUAGGAGGGUGACCGGCCACAUUGGGACUGAGACUACGGCCCACGACGUCCG
rnacentral:rRNA from 1 species